AGCCACAAAAGAUUUGAAAAUAAUGUGAUACAGCAUUGCAGUUUCUUGUGCCCUGCUGUUUCAAGGCAGGCAUCCCAAUAAGUCAAGCUAAACAGCUCUCUGUGUAUGUGCAAAGCUAAAUUUUAAGACAGGGAUCCAUAAAAGCCAGCUUGUUAAUAGAUGAGAUGCUUAAACCAGUUAGUACAAAAUACCAGAGGAAAAAAAAAAAAAAAAAAAAAAAAAAGCAAAGCUUAAUUCUCCUCCUCACAGAAAGAGAAACAGCUUACUGAGACCUGGAAGGGGGCGAUUGUCUCUGCUUAUGGUUGUCUGUGGAAAACCUUCUGGGUUUCAGAGAAGGUAUCACAAUGGCUAAUAUCUGCUUGUCUGGGAAUUUCUACUGGCCUGCUAGGUCUUAGGAAGAUACUGAGGACUUAAACACUCAGCUCUUACUUCACAGUGAGUGCUCUGAAAUCUGAUAUUAGGGUAGUUUCACACAGUGUUCUCCUACUUACCGUUAUUAAACCAUUUCCCUUCGCAGAAAACAGUAAAUAUUCAUUAAGACAGAAUGAAGAACUGUAAAACAGAAGAGACGUAUCUAGAAGGGUGAAGCCUAUGCUCCAGUCCUCACUUCAGUAUUUCAACAUUUCAUGCCAAGUGAAAUAGACUCUGGCAGAAAUGGAAAGAGAUACCCUAUAAAUACCCCAGAAGUUCCCAUAGGUCUCCACGUGAGAAUCAAGAAAAUUCUACAGAUGACAGCCUUUGACUCAUCCCUACAAGCAAGCACUUUUACAAAAGGAUAGAAGUCCAGGACUCUAACACACUCCAGGACUGAGGAAUUUAUUGCAGAGGAUCACAUUUCAACAUUGGCAUCAUCUGUCUCAGGAAGGUUUCAUUCUGCUAAAUUUGAUCAAGAUAUAGGUCCAUGUAUUAAACCCAAAUAAGGAAAUCCAUUUGCUCUCCUGCAUAUUACCAGGCAUCACCCUGGAGUGCCAAGACAUUCCCAGAGCCCCAAAGCUUCAGUCUUCCCCUCUCCCACCCACUCUACAGCUGCUGUAGGUUGAGCCAUGGUCCUUAUCUGAGGUUUGCAGAUGGCCCCUUUAGGUGUCAGUCUGGCCCUGUGAAGUGUACUUGGAAGAGCUGGAGGAAUAUAGCAGAAUAAUUACAGCAAGAUAUGAAGGAGCAAGAUUUUAAUAAUU
rnacentral:lncRNA from 1 species